UACAGAGGUCUCAAGCGUUGUUCGGAUUCAUUGGGCGUAAAGGGUGCGUAGGCGGUAGGGUAAGUCUGGUGUGAAAUUCUGGAGCUUAACUUCAGAAAUGCACUGGAUACUGCCCUGCUAGAGGACUGGAGAGGAGAUUGGAAUUCACGGUGUAGCAGUGAAAUGCGUAGAUAUCGUGAGGAAGACCAGUGGCGUAAGCGAAUCUCUGGACAGUUCCUGACGCUGAGGCACGAAGGCCAGGGGAGCAAACGGG
rnacentral:rRNA from 1 species